rnacentral:rRNA from 1 species
AUUGAACGCUGGCGGAAUGCUUUACACAUGCAAGUCGAACGGUAGAGGGGGCAACCCCUUGAGAGUGGCGAACGGGUGAGUAAUAUAUCGGAACGUGCCCAGUCGUGGGGGAUAACGUAGUGAAAAUUACGCUAAUACCGCAUACGAUCUAAGGAUGAAAGCGGGGGAUCGCAAGACCUCGCGCGACUGGAGCGGCCGAUAUCAGAUUAGGUAGUUGGUAGGGUAAAGGCCUACCAAGCCAACGAUCUGUAGCUGGUCUGAGAGGACGACCAGCCACACUGGAACUGAGACACGGUCCAGACUCCUACGGGAGGCAGCAGUGGGGAAUUUUGGACAAUGGGCGAAAGCCUGAUCCAGCCAUUCCGCGUGCAGGAUGAAGGCCCUCGGGUUGUAAACUGCUUUUGUACAGAACGAAAAGGUCUCUAUUAAUACUAGGGGCUCAUGACGGUACUGUAAGAAUAAGCACCGGCUAACUACGUGCCAGCAGCCGCGGUAAUACGUAGGGUGCAAGCGUUAAUCGGAAUUACUGGGCGUAAAGCGUGCGCAGGCGGUUAUAUAAGUCAGAUGUGAAAUCCCCGGGCUCAACCUGGGAACUGCAUUUGAGACUGUAUAGCUAGAGUAUGGUAGAGGGGGAUGGAAUUCCGCGUGUAGCAGUGAAAUGCGUAGAUAUGCGGAGGAACACCGAUGGCGAAGGCA